UACGUAGACCUCGAACGUUAUCCGGAUUUACUGGGCGUAAAGCGUGCGUAGGUGUCUUUUCAAGUCUCUGGUGAAAUCUCCGGGCUCAACUCGGAAACUGUCAGAGAAACUGGGAAGAUAGAGUGUGGCAGAGGCUGAUGGAAUGGUUGGUGUAGCGGUAAAAUGCGUUGAUAUCAACCAGAACACCAGUGGCGAAGGCGAUCAGCUGGGCCAUUACUGACACUGAGGCACGAAAGCGUGGGUAGCGAACGGG
rnacentral:rRNA from 1 species